rnacentral:rRNA from 1 species
AUUGAACGCUGGCGGAAUGCUUUACACAUGCAAGUCGAGCGGCAGCGCGGGGCAACCUGGCGGCGAGCGGCGAACGGGUGAGUAAUACAUCGGAACGUGCCCAGACGUGGGGGAUAACUACUCGAAAGAGUGGCUAAUACCGCAUACGAUCUAAGGAUGAAAGCGGGGAUCGCAAGACCUCGCGCGUUUGGAGCGGCCGAUGGCAGAUUAGGUAGUUGGUGGGGUAAAGGCUUACCAAGCCCGCGAUCUGUAGCUGGUCUGAGAGGAUGAUCAGCCACACUGGGACUGAGACACGGCCCAGACUCCUACGGGAGGCAGCAGUGGGGAAUUUUGGACAAUGGGCGAAAGCCUGAUCCAGCCAUCCGCGUGCAGGAUGAAGGCCCUCGGGUUGUAAACUGCUUUGUACAGAACGAAAAGCUACUUCUAAUACAGAGAGUCCAUGACGGUACUGUAAGAAUAAGACACCGGCUAACUACGUGCCAGCAGCCGCGGUAA